AACGCACCUUGCACCCUUUGGUAUUCCGAAGGGUAUGCCCGUUUGAGUGUCAUUGUAAUCUCACACCAACAUUUAUUUGUUGGAGGUGGACUUGGAGGUUGCUAUUGAAAAACAGCUCUUCUUAAAUGUAUUAGUGCGGCUCUGGUUGGACUUAAGCCCGAUGUAAUAAAAUUUCAUCGUGGUGUCUAAUCAAAUCGAGUCUGUGCUUCUAACCGUCUUCGGACAAACUACUUGACAACUUGGCCUCAAAUCGGGUAGGACUACCCGCUGAACUUAA
rnacentral:misc_RNA from 1 species